rnacentral:ribozyme from 13 species
CAUCCAGCCACACCACAAAGAUUGAAUGGAGGAAUGCUAAUUUGUCAGUGAAAGAGACAAAGCGAUAGGUUGCGCGACAAACGCAACCAUUUCCUUCAUUGUUUUCCUUUUUUUCUGCUCCCUCUUUUCUCUCUCCAAAAGAAAAUAUGUCUCAUUUUUCUGAAAACGGGG